rnacentral:rRNA from 1 species
CCAGACUCCUACGGGAGGCAGCAGUGGGGGAUAUUGCACAAUGGGGGGAACCCUGAUGCAGCGACGCCGCGUGGGUGAAGGAGCACCUCGGUGCGUAAAGCCCUAUCGGCAGGGAAGAAACAGACGGUACCUGACUAAGAAGCCCCGGCUAACUACGUGCCAGCAGCCGCGGUAAUACGUAGGGGGCAAGCGUUAUCCGGAUUCACUGGGUGUAAAGGGAGCGUAGACGGCGACGCAAGUCUGGAGUGAAAGCCCGGGGCCCAACUGCGGGACUGCUUUGGAAACUGUGCAUCUUGAGUACGGGAGGGGCAGGCGGAAUUCCUGGUGUAGCGGUGAAAUGCGUAGAUAUCAGGAGGAACACCGGCGGCGAAGGCGGCCUGCUGGACCGAAACUGACGUUGAGGCUCGGAAGCGUGGGGAGCAAACAGGAUUAGAUACCCUGGUA